rnacentral:rRNA from 1 species
GACGAACGCUGGCGGCGUGCUUAACACAUGCAAGUCGAACGGAAAGGCCCUGCUCUUGUGGGGUGCUCGAGUGGCGAACGGGUGAGUAACACGUGAGUAACCUGCCCUUGACUUUGGGGUAACUCCAGGAAACUGGGGCUAAUACCGGAUAGGAGCUUCUGCUGCAUGGUGGGGGUUGGAAAGUUUCGGCGGUUGGGGAUGGACUCGCGGCUUAUCAGCUUGUUGGUGGGGUAGUGGGUUACCAAGGCUUUGACGGGUAGCCGGCCUGAGAGGGUGACCGGCCACAUAGGAACUGAGGUACGGCCCAGACUCCUACGGGGGGCAGCAGGGGGAAAUAUUGCACAAGGGGGGAAGCCUGAUGCAGCAACGCCGCGUGCUGGAUGACGGCCUUCGGGUUGUAAACCGCUUUCGCCUGUGACGCAGCGUGAGUGACGGUAAUGGGUAAAGAAGCACCGGCUAACUACGUG